rnacentral:rRNA from 1 species
AUACGUAGGUGACAAGCGUUAUCCGGAUUUACUGGGCGUAAAGGGCGUGUAGGCGGUCUUGCAAGUCAGAAGUGAAAUUCCUGAGCUCAACUCGGGCGCUGCUUCUGAAACUGCAGGACUUGAGUGCUGGAGGGGAUAGCGGAAUUCCUAGUGGAGCGGUAAAAUGCGCAGGUAUUAGGAAGAACACCGGUGGCGAAGGCGGUUAUCUGGACACUAACUGACGCUGAGGCGCGAAAGCGGGGGGAGAAAACAGGAUUAGAUGCCCUGGUAGUCCACGCCGUAAACGAUGAAUACUAGGUGUAGGGGGUAUCGACUCCCUCUGUGCCGCAGUUAACACAAUAAGUAUUCCGCCUGGGGAGUACGGCCGCAAGGUUGAAACUCAAAUGAAUUGACGGGG